rnacentral:rRNA from 1 species
AUUGAACGCUGGCGGCGUGCUUAACACAUGCAAGUCGAGCGGUAACAGGCGUAGCAAUACGUGCUGACGAGCGGCGAACGGGUGCGUAAUACAUCGGAAUCUGCCUCGUAGUGGGGAAUAACCCGGCGAAAGCCGGGCUAAUGCCGCAUACGAUCCACGGAUGAAAGCGGGGGACUUUCGGCCGUCGCGCUAUGAGAUGAGCCGAUGUCGGAUUAGCUAGUGGUGAGGUAACGGCUCACCAAGGCGACGAUCCGUAGCUGGUCUGAGAGGACGGCCAGCCACACUGGGACU